GACGAACCGUGCGAACGUUAUUCGGAAUCACUGGGCGUAAAGCGCGUGUAGGCGGCUUUGCAAGUCGGGUGUGAAAGCCCUCAGCUUAACUGAGGAAGUGCGCCCGAAACUGCAGAGCUUGAGUACCGGAGAGGGUGGCGGAAUUCCCCAAGUAGAGGUGAAAUUCGUAGAUAUGGGGAGGAACACCGGUGGCGAAGGCGGCCACCUGGACGGAUACUGACGCUGAGACGCGAAAGCGUGGGUAGCAAACAGG
rnacentral:rRNA from 1 species